CUAUAUGGCAUAUUUAUAAUAAAUAUAAUAAAAUAAUAAUUCUGAAUAAUAUUAUCAAAUUCAAUGAGAAUAUUAUUAUGAUAAACAUAAUACAAAUUUAUAGAAAUAAAAAAUAUGCUUUAAUAAAAAAUAUCUCAAGGAUUUUCUUCCGUUCUUGUUCCUGCUAUCCAGUUUGCGCGAUUCGGUAGAGUUAACAUACUCAUUGGUACUUAUAUUACGCGUUAUAAUGUUUGGCCAACAUGAAACGAUACCGCAUACCGUCAUUUAUCCUCGAAUAAAGUUGUGCCAACCAACGAAAAGGCAAGGUCAAGGUCAUGUCCGGACGUGCACACGCGAUGCCAUAUGGCUUUUUCGAAUCCGCAUUCGAAUCGAUUCUUCUUGCAUGCUUACCAAGUCACGAUGAUCCUUACCAAGUGACGUCAAGCCGGCUCGAAGAUGAUCGAUAAUGAGUAAUUUUGACAAAGCAUUCUCUCAAUCGCACCUUUUUUAACCUUUUUUUUUUUGUCUUCGUGAUAAGCAUAAUGUUUAACCAUAUUUCUUUUUUCUCUUUUUAAAUUUUUCAAAUUGAAAUUAUUGUUAUGUACAAAUGAUGAUGUGAGUGAUAAUGUUUCUUUUUUUUUCAAAUAAAUAAAAAUUUCUCUUUUUAAUAAAACGUGAAAUAUGAAUAUACUGAUCAAUUAUGAAUUUAAUUGAGAAAUAAAAUGUUUUUAUAUGUUAAAAAUAAUAAAGGUGCCAUAAGAUCUGGUUUAUCUGGCUUACCGUUGCAUUUACAUUCUAUUCUAUUAUUAACCUCAAAUAGAUUAAAUUGUAUGUCUUUUAAUUCGCAAUCAAUUCGUGUCAAGAUUGUUCUAUCUUAUUAAAUUGAAUUUUUAAAAAUGAUUCAUUAUAUUGUUUCUGCUGAAUUAAAUAAAAAUCUUUCGUUUUAUUUUUAUCAGCAUGUUAAAAUAAUAUUAAAGAACAAAAAGAGAAGAAAGAUAGUCACGAAAGAUAAAACUUAAUUAUAAUUAAAAUCAAUCUCACAUUUGACUGGUGUACAAAAUCCCAUAAACUAACGUUUUUAUAGUUUACUUGAUUAUCGCAAUUUAACUUUCCUUUUAAAAUUAAUUUUAUGAUCAUACAGAGUGACAUGUUUACCGGCAAAGAAUUUUCUGCGUACUGUUUCCACUUAAAAGACACCAAACGAAUCGAGACAGUUUCUACAACUUUCUCAUUUGCAUCAUCGUUUCUGCCACUUUUCGAGAUCGAGCCAGUGAUAUGUAAAUUUACACCGGUUAUACUUCACGUGCUGCAUGUGAAACAUUUUAUUAUACGACAUGUAUGCUCGCCAAAGUAUUUCGAGAAUAAGUGAGCCCGAUUACAUUCCCUUUCCACAAAAGAAGAUGCGGGGAACUUGUUCGCUUACGAUAGAAAGGGAAGGGAUGUUAAAAUUCCAUUCGUACACGUGAAUUCGUUCGAAAAAGUAAAACUCGAUAGAACGGAUAUCGGCAAUGACGGAUAAAACGUGCGUAACAAAUAAAAACACAUGCGGCUACGUGCCAUUCCUGACUUGUUUGUAUUGAAAUUUCAAAUCGAAUCGACGUGUAAAAUUGCUAGGACGUUUGUCGAGUAUAAUACUCGUCCAUUCUGUCUGGUGCAACCAGAUUAUAUGUAUAAAAUCUAGGACAGGCUACGAGGUUCCGCAAUAGAUUCUAUUGCCGAUUAUUUACUUACUUUCAACUGAUCGAGGUUGAAGCUGAGCUAGAUUUCUAUUGAUGAUUUAUUGAUUUUAUUAAAUAUAUUGGUCUUGUGAUUUCGAGUGCAGAAAUCAUAUCGGUGGAUGAUGAUGGAUAAACGGAAUGAAGAUCAUUCAAUUUUCUGGAAAAUAAAAAUUAUUAUUUAAAAGAGAAACGAUGCUAAAGUGUCAGAGAUAGUACACAAUAGCCUACUUUAUC